rfam:Ovis aries breed Texel chromosome 14, whole genome shotgun sequence.
UCCCCGGUGGUCGAGUGGCUAAGACACCAUGCUUCCAAAACCGGGGCCCUGGGUUCGAUCCCUGGUUGGGGAG